UGGCAUUUUAAUGUAUGAUUGGCGUGGACUAGCUGUGACCGAGAAUGAAAUCAUUUUAUGAUGCCACCACUUGGGAUAGUAAGCUGCAAAUAUAGACUUGCACUCAGCAUUUAUUGCCUUUGAGAAGUAAGGGAUCCUUUUUGUGCCAUUUCCAACUGUGACACAGAAUCUCGGUUUAUACAGUCUCAUCAGAGUAACCUGUCUCAAGCAUUUAGCAAUGGGAUUGGAACCUUCGAGGUGUGACUGUCAUCUGAGUACUGACAUUUGAUGCCAAGCAUGAUUAUGAUUUGCCAGAAGAGCUUCUGUUGGGAGAUAACAAAGAAUAAACAGCACAAUGAAAUUGAAACAGUCAAUUCUCAGUUUAAGAAGAUAACUUUAAGUAUAUCAUGUUUUAAGUUUUGAUGAAU